UCACAUGGCAGGCAGAUCUCAAUAUGCAUAUUUACGUUCCACGUGGAAGAGCAGAGCCUCCCAUGCCCAGACCCUCCUGCUUGGCCGCUGCCUGAGGAUGCGUGUCUUGCCAAGGUUUUGCCUUAAGCAGAGGAAGGAUGAAAAAUGCAGGGCCAGAGACUUUCUUACAGCUGAAAACCGCUGUCUGCUGCGCUGCUCCUCGGGACAGCACCGAGCAGGGAAACGCCUCCGCCACCCAGCAGUCAUUCUCUUCAUAGUGGGACAAGUGCAGAAUGGUGGAGGGGAAGCUCGGAUGGUGGUCCUGUCCAGGGAGACGCAGCCUCAUGUCUCCCACCCUCCUCCGCUUUGAUGACUGAACAUGUAGGACCGGUAAAACUCAAAUUUCAGAAGGGCUUUUUUUGAUAGUUAUAUAAAGGCAUCUAUUCCCGGAUAAGAUCUUCCAAGCAGAUCUUAUCUGGGAAUUAUUUUUGUGGUAGCAAUGGGGUGAUCAUCAC
ensembl:lncRNA